AGGAGGUGUGAUCCCGCGCUCACUGGGAAGUAUGAUCCCGCGCUCCCUGGGAGGUGUGAUCCUGUGCUUCCU
rnacentral:pre_miRNA from 1 species